UGUAUGACUAGUACUCUCCUGUGCUUUACAUGAUUAAGUAUAAAAGUGCAUAAAGGUAUUAAACUCCUGUGCAAAGUGUGUGACUGUGUAUUAACUGCUUCACAACUGCUGCAUGCCCCUGAGAGAGUUAAACAGUAAACCAGAAGCUUCACACCUUUUGGGUGGAGUUCUGGGAGAGGGAUGUUUAGAAUAACUGAUGU